UUUUCUGGAGGGGAAGAAAACCCCACCCCUUCUCCAUGUCUCUACUCUUUUCUCUGGGCUUGCCUCCUUCACUAUGCUUCCACCUUCCAUUCCUCCUUCUUCUCCCUUAGCCUGUAUUCUUAAGAACUUAAAACCUCUUCAAUUCUCACCUGACCUAAAAUCUAAGCGUCUUAUUUUCUUCUGCAAUGCCGCUUGACCCCAAUACAAACUCGACAGUAGUUCCAAAUAGCCAGAAAACGGCACUUUCAAUUUUUCCAUCCUGCAAGAUCUAAAUAAUUCUUGUUGUAAAAUGGGCAAAUGGUCUGAGGUGCCUGACGUCCAGGCAUUCUUUUACACAUCAGUCCCCUCCUAGUCUCUGUGCCCAGUGCAACUCCUCCCAAAUCUUCUUUCUUUCCCUCCCGCCUGUCCCCUCAGUACCAACCCCAAGUGUCGCUGAGUCUUUCUAAUCUUCCUUUUCUACAGACCCAUCUGACCUCUCCCCUCCUCGACAGGCUGAGCUAGGUCCCAAUUCUUCCUCAGCCUCCACUCCUCCACCCUAUAAUCUUUUUAUCGCCUCCCCUCCUCACACCUGUUCCGGCUUACAGUUUCAUUCCGUGACUAGCACUCCCCCACCUGCCCAGCAAUUUAUUCUUAAAAAGGUGGCUGGAGCUAAAGGCAUAGUCAAGGUUAAUGCUCCUUUUUCUUUAUCCCAAAUCAGAUAGUGUUUAGGCUCUUUUUCAUCAAAUAUAAAAAUCCAGCCCAGUUCAUGACUUGUUUGGCAGCAACCCUGAGACACUUUACAGCCCUAGGCCCUAAAAGGUCUAAAGGCCGUCUUAUUCUCAAUAUACAUUUUAUUACCCAAUCUGCUCCCGACAUUAAAUAAAACUCCAAAAACUGGAAUCUGGCCCUCAAACCCCACAACAGGACUUAAUUAACCUCACCUUCAAGGUGUGCAAUAACAGAAAAAAGUUGCAAUUCCUUGCCACCACUGUGAGACAAACCCCAGCCACAUCUCCAGCACACAAGAACUUCCAAACGCCUGAACUGUAGCAGCCAGGCGUUCCUCCAGAACCUUCUCCCCCAGGAACUUGUUACACAUGCCGGAAAUCUGGCCACUGGGCCAAGGAACGCCCGCAGCCCAGGAUUCCUCCUAAGCCACGUCCCAUCUGUGUGGGACCCCACUGAAAAUCGGACUGUUCAACUCACCUGGCAGCCACUCCCAGAGCUCCUGGAACUCUGGCCCAGGGCUCUCUGACUGACUCCUUCUUGGCUUACCGGCUGAAGACUGAUGCUGCCCGAUCGCCUCAGAAGCCCCGUAGACCAUCACGGACGCCGAGCUUUAGGUAACUCACAGUGGAGGAAGGCAGGAAUGUCAGGCCUCUGAGCCCAAGCCAAGCCAUCGCAUCCCCUGUGACUUGCACGGAUACGACCAGAUGGCCGGAAGUAACUGAAGAAUCACAAAAGAAGUGAAUAUGCCCUGCCCCACCUUAACUGAUGACAUUCCACCACAACAGAAGUGUAAAUGGCCGGUCCUUGCCUUAAGUGAUGACAUUACCUUGUGAAAGUCCUUUUCCUGGCUCAUCCUGGCUCAAAAAGCACCCCCACUGAGCACCUUGCGACCCCCACUCCUACCCGCCAGAGAACAAACCCCCUUUGACUGUAAUUUUCCUUUACCUACCCAAAUCCUAUCAAACGGCCCCACCCUUAUCUCCCUUCACUGACUCUCUUUUAGGACUGAGCCCGCCUGCACCCAGGUGAAAUAAACAGCCAUGUUGCUCACACAAA
rnacentral:lncRNA from 1 species